rnacentral:rRNA from 1 species
AUUGAACGCUGGCGGAAUGCUUUACACAUGCAAGUCGAGCGGCAGCGCGGCCUUCGGGCUGGCGGCGAGCGGCGAACGGGUGAGUAAUGCAUCGGAACAUGCCCAGUCGUGGGGGAUAACACUUCGAAAGAAGUGCUAAUACCGCAUACGUCCUGAGGGGGAAAGCGGGGGAUCGCAAGACCUCGCGCGAUUGGAGUGGCCGAUGUCAGAUUAGCUAGUUGGUGGGGUAAAGGCCUACCAAGGCGACGAUCUGUAGCUGGUCUGAGAGGAUGAUCAGCCACACUGGGACUGAGACCCGGCCCAGACUCCUACGGGAGGCAGCAGUGGGGAAUUUUGGACAAUGGGGGCAACCCUGAUCCAGCCAUUCCGCGUGAGUGAAGAAGGCCUUCGGGUUGUAAAGCUCUUUCGGCAGGAACGAAACGGUGGGCUCUAACAUAGUCCGCUAAUGACGGUACCUGAAGAAGAAGCACCGGCUAACUACGUG